rnacentral:tRNA from 1 species
AAAUUUUUAUUUAAAUAAAAAUUUAUAGUAAUAUUUCUUAAUAAUGUAAAUAUUAAAUUUUAAAUAAACUAAAAUUUUU